rnacentral:rRNA from 1 species
CGCGAUCGAUCAGAGUUUGAUCCUGGCUCAGGAUGAACGCUGACAGAAUGCUUAACACAUGCAAGUCGACUCGAGUCUUCGGACUUGGGUGGCGCACGGGUGAGUAACGCGUAAAGAACUUGCCCUCUAGACUGGGAUAACAGAUAGAAAUGUCUGAUAAUACCGGAUAUUAUUGUUACAUGGCAUCAUGUAGGAAUGAAAGGAUAAGACUGCUAGAGGAGAGCUUUGCAUCCUAUUAGCUAGUUGGUAAGGUAGAGGCUUACCAAGGCGAUGAUAGGUAGCCGGCCUGAGAGGGUGGACGGCCACAAGGGGACUGAGACACGGCCCAG